rnacentral:misc_RNA from 1 species
GAAAAUAGUUAUUGGAGAUGCUUGGUAGAAUAGGAGUUGAGAAUUGACAAUAGAAGUCUCGUCACAACAUGGCUGGUAGUUCCAAGAAAGAUUUGGUGAGUUCACAUUUCCAGUGAACCAAAUGAUGAUUCAAAAGUUAGGUUCCUUCAUGAUUAUUUCAUAAACAUCAUCCGCAAUAAGAGAAGCCUUUAGUCCAGACCUCUUAUCAACAUGGUUAUACAUUAUUUUGAUCGUUUCUGAAAACGACUUCUUUGUAUUCUUAUGCAGAUUCGAAACUGCAAUUCUCGCAGCCAGCAGAGCAUAAUCAGGAUGGUUGGCAGUCAUAGAAGCGGCUGUCUCAGCGGCUAACUGGUCGAGCUGGGUGGUGGUUACACCCUUGUAUAUUCCAGCACAAACCUUCUGGGCGACGAGCACGGGGUCACAGUGUUUACUACUCAACCCAUAACUCAGUUUAUUCAACCGAGCCGUGAUCUUGUCGAAAUGGACUGGUUCUUGGCGCCCAUCUCGCUUUAUCACGUACAUGGUCUGAUUGAGAAGUAAGUUUUGGAAUUUGGAAACAACUUGAAAGGUUAAUGAGGAUUUUUAUCGAACAGGUAAUGGGAGGUUUGUGAUUUGUGUUUAUAUAGAGAGACAGAAGCAAGAAGAGUGCUAUAGAAGCCACGGCAAGCGAAAGGGUUUGAAUUUAAAUGAAUUUUGAUAUAUUUUAAGUAAAUUUCUUGUCGUUUUGUCAGUUUCUUCCAUAUUUUAACUUUCCCGCCUAUUUGUUGAUACGUGGAGGUUGGAAAUUGGAGCGCCUUCCCUGCUCGCUGCUCGGUGGUGACUGUACUACACCGCGUUUGGAUAAUUGAAGGAAGAU